UACGUAGGGUGCGAGCGUUGUCCGGAAUUACUGGGCGUAAAGAGCUCGUAGGUGGUUUGUCGCGUUGUUCGUGAAAACCGGGGGCUUAACCCUCGGCGUGCGGGCGAUACGGGCAGACUUGAGUACUGCAGGGGAGACUGGAAUUCCUGGUGUAGCGGUGGAACGCGCAGAUAUCAGGAGGAACACCGGUGGCGAAGGCGGGUCUCUGGGCAGUAACUGACGCUGAGGAGCGAAAGCGUGGGGAGCGAACAGG
rnacentral:rRNA from 1 species